UCUACGGGAGGCAGUAGUGGGGAAUAUUGGGCAAUGGGCGCAAGCCUGACCCAGCAACGCCGCGUGAAGGAAGAAGGCUUUCGGGUUGUAAACUUCUUUUCUGGGGGACGAACAAAUGACGGUACCCCAGGAAUAAGCCACGGCUAACUACGUGCCAGCACCCGCGGUAAUACGUAGGUGGCAAGCGUUAUCCGGAUUUAUUGGGUGUAAAGGGCGUGUAGGCGGGAAUGCAAGUCAGAUGUGAAAACUAUGGGCUCAACCCAUAGCCUGCAUUUGAAACUGUAUUUCUUGAGUGCUGGAGAGGCAAUCGGAAUUCCGUGUGUAGCGGUGAAAUGCGUAGAUAUACGGAGGAACACCAGUGGCGAAGGCGGAUUGCUGGACAGUAACUGACGCUGAGGCGCGAAAGCGUGGGGAGCAAACAGGAUUAGAUACCCCGGUAGUC
rnacentral:rRNA from 1 species